rnacentral:rRNA from 1 species
CAUUAUUUAUAUAUGGGAUACAAAAGUAUUCCCUGACCCAAACCCUCUCUGUGUACUGAUCCAUGUUGCUUUCCCAAGUGGUUGGUUUCACUAGUUGUUCCAACUUUCCUGCUAGUUGGGUUAACUUUACUAAGUAGGCUCCUGGGAGAGGGUCUAUUUAAAAUGAACUAUUGAAUAAGCAGUCUGAGUUGGCGCAGUGUCAUAUUUUUUUUUGAAUAAAUUAAAACUUUCAACAACGGAUCUCUUGGCUCUUGUAUCGAUGAAGAACGCAGCGAAAUGCGAUAAGUAAUGUGAAUUGCAGAAUUCAGUGAAUCAUCGAAUCUUUGAACGCACAUUGCGCCCCUUGGUAUUCCUUGGGGCAUGCCUGUUCGAGCGUCACUGCAAACCUACUCAUAAAUAUUAUGGUAAUGGUGGAAGUGAAGGGAGGCUACUAAUGUACCUCAGUCACUCUAUCAAAAUGUAUAGUUAGAACAAUUAUUUUUGGCAAAGGACUUAGUAAAUGUUUGAAAAACAUAUAUCAGUUCUUUGCUAGGAUUUGGACUUACUUAAAUGGAUCUCUGUCAGAGACAAACUCUGGGUUGACCUCGGAUCAGGUAGGGAUACCCGCUGAACUUAAGCAUAU